rnacentral:lncRNA from 1 species
UUGUACAACUACACUCCUUGACCUUAUAUGAAUAAAAUGAAUGAACUCGAUCUUCAAUUUAAAAUAUUUACACUAUGAAAAUAUGAAUAAAUUCUUAAGUGUUCGUGAAUCGAUUAUUUUGGUGGGAUACGCAUUCUACGAAACUAGUUUCAACGAUCCAACCGUCAAACAUGUUUGUAUAUACUUCAAGAUCGCAUAAGCCAAAAAUUGCAAAAAACAAACAUUCAGAGAUCAAGUAACGGGACAAAACUUUUCAACGGUUAUCAACAAAAAAUCACGAUUUAACGGUUAUUUUAACUUCCAUUUUGAUGAUUUUUUACAGCUACACUCCUUGACCCUAUAUGAAUACAAUGAAUGAACUUGAUCUUCCAUUUAAAAUAUUUACACUAGUGGAUACCACAAAAUCUUAUGUUAUACUUAAUGA